rnacentral:rRNA from 1 species
CACCGCCCGUCACACCAUGGAAGUGUAUUGCACCAGAAGCAGGUAGCCUGACCGCAAGGAGGCGCCUACCACGGUGUGGUCCGUGACGUGGGUG